GAAGGAAGGAAGGAAGGAAGGAAGGAAGGAAGGAAGAAACGCCUGGCAUGGUGCAGCCUUAACGCAUACUUCUUGAGGUCCUUCAAUGAACUGGGGUUCUAAUUACUGAGCAUUAUGAAAAAACAGAGAAGGAAAUGAUACUAACCUAUCUCUGCAAAGACACGGGAGCAGCACCCCAGGGAAAAGGGCAGUUAGCCUCUUGGUGCCGUGUUAAUGGCUCCCCAGGAUCACAGCUUCCCCAUGAGGGCGCCCAGUCUUCCCAGGGUGAAGGGCUCCUGGAAGAGAGGGCUCAGGGAACCUGCUGCAUAUGCACUACCAGUUACAAUAACCUCAGUUAGUGAUAAAGUAGGGUGAUAAUUUCUAUUAUUCUAGCGGCAGAGGGCAGACUUCCUCAAGAUGGGCCACUGUGGCCCGAAGAUUAUUCUGAGUUGAAGGCAAUAGAGACCCUAGGGGACUCGAGAGAAACUUUUGCCCCUCCCUAAACUACAUAAUUGGGGAUCUUUCUCAGAAUAAGGGUUAUUAGCUGAGAUAAACGUUAUCUGAGUGACCCAUCUGUCUGGCAGGUCAGACUUCUAAUUACCAAACAGAUGCUUCUUACUGCCCUGUGAAGAAGUGCGCUUCUUUCCUCUAAAGUCCCAGACCACUGCCCCCUUCUCCUUGGUACAGAAUGACACAUAUACUUGAUUUCGCCUGACUCUGGAAUUUCCAUGUCUGUGUGGAUUCUCCAUACAAACACUAUUAAACUCAGUUUUCUGCUAUUAACCUGUCAAUCUGCUCCUUAGUCCAGUUAGACGCACCUUGAGGGGACAGGAAUUCUUGCUCCCUGACCUCUGGCAUAGUCAGUAGGACACUUUAACUCGCUGGGCAUAGCUCACUCUGAUACUGCUGCAGCUGAGGGACCCUGGGGCAUCUGACAUAGAGCCAGCAGAAGAUUUAAGAAAAAUGUUCAUCUUAAGCUAACUGAUUUACACCAAUUAGAUAAAAUAUACCUUGUGGACAAAUGGAAACAUUUAUCUUUUCUCUCUACCUGAACCCUCUAGAAUUCAGAAACUCUCAGAAAUACUGAAAAUGGAUGAAAGGCCUUUCUUAGUGCCCUGGAGGACAUGUAAGAAUCCUAGGAUAGCAGGGAGUGGAGUUAAACCAGUCAGUCUGGAAUUUUUUGUUCAGCCAGUGAAGUCAUCUUCGUGAAGAGAUCUCCUGCUUCUCCCCCCUAGAGAAGGUGACCUCGCCUGAAACCCAUCCUUUCUUUUCUUUUGCUAAUAACUUCCUUGCCCCACCCUCUUUUCUGCAGAACUACUGUAUACAACUCCUCAGACUUUUCUAGGUGGGACGUUGCUCAAUUCAGGAAUCAUUGAAUAAAGCCAAUGCGAUCUUCAAAUGUACUCAGAUGAAUUUUUAUUAUUUAAUAGGCUUAAACUAUGUAUUUAAAGGUUUCAAUAGAGGAUCCAGAUAACUGAGAAACAACAGAUUCUUUAGGGGCACAUGGCUUGUUUGUAAGGACCUUGGGUCUCGAUGGGGAACCGUGUCAAGGAGUCCUGAUCACAUCCUGUUUGCCUGAGGUCACCUUGAUGUGCCAAAGUAGAAGGACAAAGUCUUUGUCCCUGUAGCAACAGAUGUGUGUCACUGUGGAGUCACGACAGCCAGCCCCCAUA